AACGAACGCUGGCGGCAGGCCUAACACAUGCAAGUCGAGCGAGAUCUUCGGAUCUAGCGGCGGACGGGUGAGUAACGCGUGGGAAUAUGCCCUUCUCUACGGAAUAGCCCUGGGAAACUGGGAGUAAUACCGUAUACGCCCUACGGGGGAAAGAUUUAUCGGAGAAGGAUUAGCCCGCGUUGGAUUAGGUAGUUGGUGGGGUAAUGGCCUACCAAGCCUACGAUCCAUAGCUGGUUUGAGAGGAUGAUCAGCCACACUGGGACUGAGACACGGCCCAGACUCCUACGGGAGGCAGCAGUGGGGAAUCUUAGACAAUGGGGGAAACCCUGAUCUAGCCAUGCCGCGUGAGUGAUGAAGGCCUUAGGGUUGUAAAGCUCUUUCAGCUGGGAAGAUAAUGACGGUACCAGCAGAAGAAGCCCCGGCUAACUCCGUG
rnacentral:rRNA from 1 species